rnacentral:rRNA from 1 species
UACGGAGGGUGCAAGCGUUAUCCGGAUUCACUGGGGUUAAAGGGUGCGUAGGUGGGUUGGUAAGUCAGUGGUGAAAUCCCCGAGCUUAACUUGGGAACUGCCAUUGAUACUAUCAGUCUUGAAUACCGUGGAGGUCAGCGGAAUAUGUCAUGUAGCGGUGAAAUGCUUAGAUAUGACAUAGAACACCAAUUGCGAAGGCAGCUGGCUACACGAAUAUUGACACUCAGGCACGAAAGCGUGGGGAUCAAACAGG